rnacentral:rRNA from 1 species
CGGACGGGUGAGUAAUGCCUAGGAAUCUGCCUGGUAGUGGGGGACAACGUCUCGAAAGGAACGCUAAUACCGCAUACGUCCUACGGGAGAAAGCAGGGGACCUUCGGGCCUUGCGCUAUCAGAUGAGCCUAGGUCGGAUUAGCUAGUUGGUGAGGUAAUGGCUCACCGAGGCGACGAUCCGUAACUGGUCUGAGAGGAUGAUCAGUCACACUGGAACUGAGACACGGUCCAGACUCCUACGGGAGGCAGCAGUC